rnacentral:rRNA from 1 species
UCGGGUUGUAAAGCACUUUCAAUAGGGAGGAAAGGUUGUAAGUUAAUACCUUGCAACUGUGACGUUACCUAUAGAAGAAGCACCGGCUAACUCCGUGCCAGCAGCCGCGGUAAUACGGAGGGUGCAAGCGUUAAUCGGAAUUACUGGGCGUAAAGCGCGCGUAGGCGGUUAUUUAAGUCAGAUGUGAAAUCCCCGGGCUCAACCUGGGAAUUGCAUUUGAUACUGGAUGGCUAGAGUGUGGUAGAGGUGAGUGGAAUUUCAGGUGUAGCGGUGAAAUGCGUAGAGAUCUGAAGGAACAUCAGUGGCGAAGGCGACUCACUGGGCCAUUACUGACGCUGAGGUGCGAAAGCGUGGGUAGCAAACAGGAUUAGAUACCCUGGUAGUCCACGCCCUAAACGAUGUCAACUAGGUGUAUGGAGAAUUUAUUCUUUGUGUAUCGAAGCUAACGCGAUAAGUUGACCGCCUGGGGAGUACGGUCGCAAGACUAAAACUCAAAUGAAUUGACGGGGGCCCGCACAAGCGGUGGAGCAUGUGGUUUAAUUCGAUGCAACGCGAAGAACCUUACCUACCCUUGACAUCGAGAGAACUUUCCAGAGAUGGAUUGGUGCCUUCGGGAACUCUCAGACAGGUGCUGCAUGGCUGUCGUCAGCUCGUGUUGUGAAAUGUUGGGUUAAGUCCCGUAACGAGCGCAACCCUUGUCCCUAUUUGCCAGCGAUUCGGUCGGGAACUCUAGGGAGACUGCCGGUGACAAACCGGAGGAAGGUGGGGACGACGUCAAGUCAUCAUGGCCCUUACGGGUAGGGCUACACACGUGCUACAAUGGCCGGUACAAUGGGUUGCGAAUCCGCGAGGUGGAGCUAAUCCCAUAAAGCCGGUCUCAGUCCGGAUCGGAGUCUGCAACUCGACUCCGUGAAGUCGGAAUCGCUAGUAAUCGUGAAUCAGAAUGUCACGGUGAAUACGUUCCCGGGCCUUGCACACACCGCCCGUAAUC